GACGCCGGUAAUUUCCCGUCGGACAUGUUUCGGCGGUGCACGCGCAUGGUGCUCAGAGCACAGCAGAUGGUUGAAUUACUCUAAUAGUUUUUUUUAUAAUAUGGGGAAUUAGAGAACAGUUCGUUAGGUGAUUUUAAGCGGCUUCUUGCAAAUACUACAUCAGAAUACCAAGAUGUUUGCAAAAGCGUUUCGUGUGAAAUCAAACACCGUUAUCAAGGGAUCUGACAGGAGGAAGCUGAGAACAGAUAUCUCAGCUGCUUUUCCUUCUCUGUCAGUGCAGGAACUAAAUGAGCUCAUCCCAAAUAAAGAAGAGCUGAAUAUUGUGAAGAUUUACGCACAUAAAGGAGAUGCAGUCACUCUGUAUGUCCUCCAUAAAAAUCCCAUAUUCUUUCAGCUGGAGAAACAGCUGUUCCCAACAGUGUACACACUGUGGCGAUGUCCCACCAUGCUACCGGCAUUCGCCACGUGGCCACCUGUCCUGCAGAAGUUAUCUGGUGGAGCAGAUCUCAUGUUGCCUGGUGUAGUGGUAUCCAAUAGUGGCCUUCCUGAGGUACAUCAAGGCGAUUGCUGUGCUGUCACUCUUGUGAUGAACAGGGCACCAGUGGCUGUUGGGACAGCAGCUGUGUCGAGCACUGAGAUGAGGAAGAGUGGAAUGAAGGGGAAAGGAGUGAAUAUUUUACAUGCAUACAUGGACCAGCUGUGGGCAUUUGGUGAUAAGACGCAUCCUCCCGUUAUACCGGUCACAAACUCUCCAGCACAGGUGGAGGGAGAAUCAGAGGGAGAGGAAUGUGAGGAGAAGGAUGGCUCUGAAUCAGCUGCAGUGGAAACAUCUUGUCAGAGCAUGCAAGAGCUGAGGCUGGAUGAGCAUGAGGUGCUGAAGGAAGAACAACUGCUUGAGGAUAAAGAGGGUGAAGACACUGAUGGAGAAGAGCACGACUCUAGAUCUCCACAGGAGCAGAUGGAUGAGUUAUUGCUGCAAUGUUUCCUCCAUGCACUUAAGACUAAAGUCAAAAAGUCAGACCUCCCACUACUGACCAGCACCUUCCUGAGCAAGCACAUGGUGUCCUGCUGUCCUAGAGGAAAGCAACUAGAUAUCAAGAAAUCAAGUUAUAAAAAGCUGUCUAAGUUUCUGUUGUGCAUGCAGAGAGAUCACAGUCUGGUUCAGGUGAAGGAGCUGAGUAAAGGUGUGGAGAGCAUUGUGGAAGUUGACUGGAGGAACCCUGAAUUGUGUUCUUUCAGCACACCAGAGGACUGUGGGCCGGAGAAAGAGUCUGUGGAGGGGUGCGGGGCUUGUGAGGUCCCAUACCAACCCCCUGAAAUCACACAACUCUAUGGGGUCACUGCACGCCUGGAACCUCUUUUUCAGGACGCCCAGAAAAAAAAGGGGACACCUCUAAAGGCCAGUGAAGUGAGGAAUAUCAUCACAGAUUAUGUGAAGAAAAAUGAACUGGUCCAUGAAACCAACAAAAAUUAUGUUAAUAUUAACCCUACACUUUGUGACUGUUUGCUGGAGAAGUCCGAGUACCACGAAGUGGAGACACUGAAAUGGGAUGACCUCUUUAGCAGGACUCUCACCAGAAUGCAGGCAUGCCAUGAGGUGCUGUUUCCAGGUCAGCCUCCUGUUGUUAAGAAAGGACAGAUGGAGCCUAUAGACAUUACUGUAGCCUCCAGAGGAUCCAAUAAGAAGCUUUUGUCACCAAGCCCAGUGAACAACAACAUGUCCUGGAAAUCAUCACCUACUUCACCAUAGCAACUUUAGUCCCGCCCACUGGCGUUAGUGAGAUGAGAAAGGGAGAAGAGCGCAGGAUCACUCACUGGACUAAUAUAACGCCUUUUAAAGGAUCCUAAUGCUAGGAAUGUGGUUAUUUUAUUUUUUUUCAACAAUGUGAAUGUCUCAGUUGAGCAUUAUUUAUUUUUUUUAUAUGUGGUACAUUUCACUAAAUUUCACUAGAUUUCGUCAAAUCAGUCGCAAUUUUGGAGCAGGCUUUGCAAACAGACGUUUACGAUAUGGACUUGACAGUAAUGUGACAACAUAUGAUCUUAGAAGUCAGGAGUUUAUCACUGAACAUCUACAGUGGCAAAAGUACCUGUAACCCUGGUUACAGUAAUUAAGAAUCUGGAGGCGUUUGGUUUAGAUCCAGCUGUGGUAGCAGACACUCUGCAGCGUCAGGUUCAGGCCAGCUGUGUCCUCAACGAGUCCCCUGGGGC